CUGGUGCAGCAGGAGAAGCUGGAAGGGGACUUUAGGUUCAAGCAUAUGCAGAUUCGGGUGAAUGCUGAGCCUGCUGCUUUCUACAGGGGUUUGCUUCUGAAGCUGGUGGAUCCUUACAGUGGCCAGCUUUAGUCUUACUGCUCUGGCCUGGGGCCUGAAAUUGUCAAAGAAUAACAUGAGUGCCUGCUUCAUCACCUUGCUGAAGACCAGAGGACAUCGCCUCUGCAUCUGUUUUUCUGUCUGUAAAAUAACUUCCUUGCCAGUGUGUGACAUCCAAGGCUAAUCUUUUCUCUCUGUAGCAAGGGAGGGAAUUGGAGCCUCUCAGAUCAGUUGCUCCCCACCGAUGCCGUCCAAGUGGAGCCAAGUGGCUGGUCUCCUGAUGGCAGCAUUGUGAAAUCCCAUCCAUUCCCUCCGGGGCCGGGCGGGUCCUGUGUUCUGCCUUGCGUGAGGCCUCCACAAUCAGUGUUUGGACUGAUAGUACAGGCCCUAGAGGUUCGUUUAAGAAGUAGAAGCUACUGCUCGGAUUACCUGUACUCGGGUGGAAUUGAUAGCCCUAGAACCUUGGGUCUUCACUCUGUCUCUGCAGCAGUUUGCAGCCACCUCCACUUGCGAGCAUCAGGAAUCCUAGAAAUCUGAGCUGGGGUUGGGUUGUGGGGUGGGUAGGGCUGGGCUGGGCAAGUUUGCUUUUGGAUUCUGCAGUUUUGCUCUUGAAGUUUUGGGCUCUGGGCUCUGGGGAAGGGAGAUUAGAUCUUGGAGCUCCAAAUGGGUUCUUCUGCAGCCUCUCUCUCUCUGUGCAAAGUCUGAAAUGCCCCUUUUCCUCUUUCCACCCUUUCUGCUUGGAGAAUUUCUGCCUAUCCUUGAACCCCUAAGUCACCGCUUCUGGGAGCCUUCCAGACUCCCUUAGUGGUCAAGCCUGUUUGCUGCCAUAGCCCUUAGGACACACUUAACUUUCCACAUUCCAGGUGAAGAAUGCAGUAUACCUGCCUGCCUGCCCUCUGAACUGGGAGCUCCUCAAAGACAGGGACCAUUUUAUCCACUCCUUCACUGCCCCAGCUAACCACCACAGAGCCUGGCAUGUAGUGACUACUCUAUGUAUAUUUGUUUAGUGAUAGCAGCUAUUAUUUUCUGAGGGCCCCUCAUGUGUUUGGCA